GGGGCCGUAGCCCAACGGCAGAGGCACACGGUUUAGGUCCGUGCCAGUGUGGGUUCAAAUCCCACCGGCCCUA
rnacentral:tRNA from 1 species